AACGAACGCUGGCGGCAUGCCUAACACAUGCAAGUCGAACGAGACCUUCGGGUCUAGUGGCGCACGGGUGCGUAACGCGUGGGAACCUGCCCUUAGGUUCGGAAUAACUCCCCGAAAGGGGUGCUAAUACCGGAUAAUGUCUUCGGACCAAAGAUUUAUCGCCUUUGGAUGGGCCCGCGUUGGAUUAGCUAGUUGGUAGGGUAAAAGCCUACCAAGGCGACGAUCCAUAGCUGGUCUGAGAGGAUGAUCAGCCACACUGGGACUGAGACACGGCCCAGACUCCUACGGGAGGCAGCAGUGGGGAAUAUUGGACAAUGGGCGAAAGCCUGAUCCAGCAAUGCCGCGUGAGUGAUGAAGGCCUUAGGGUUGUAAAGCGCUUUUAACCGGGAUGAUAAUGACAGUACCGGGAGAAUAAGCUCCGGCUAACUCCGUG
rnacentral:rRNA from 1 species